rnacentral:tRNA from 1 species
ACCUGAGAUAGCUCAGUCGGUAGAGCAUGAGACUCUUAAUCUCAGGGCGGUGGGUUCGAGCCCCAGGUUUGGCA